rnacentral:rRNA from 1 species
CGCAUCUGUGCAUGCAGCAUAUCAAUAAGCGGAGGAAAAGAAACUAACAAGGAUUCCCUUAGUAACGGCGAGUGAAGCGGGAAGAGCUCAAAUUUGAAAUCUUCAAGGUUUUACCUUGACGAAUUGUAGUUUAAAGAAGUGUUUUCUGCUGAAGUUUUGGUAAAAGUUCUUUGGAAUAGGACAUCAUAGAGGGUGAGAAUCCCGUAUUUGACCAUUAUUUUCAGCUUUGUGAUACACUUUCAAAGAGUCGGAUUGUUUGGGAAUGCAGUCCAAAAUGGGUGGUAAAUUUCAUCUAAAGCUAAAUAUUGGCGAGAGACCGAUAGCGAACAAGUACCGUGAGGGAAAGAUGAAAAGAACUUUGAAAGGAGAGUUAAACAGUACGUGAAAUUGUCAAAAGGGAAGCGUUUGACACCAGUGUUGUUUUUCUGAAAAUCAAUUAAAGAACUGUUUAUGCUAAGUUGUUUAGACUUUAUCAGCUAACUGUUUAGUUUUGAGCUUUUCUUUAAUGCACUUUUCAGUUAACAAGUCAACAUCAAUUUCUUUUGCUGCUAAAAAAGCUUGAGGAAGGUGGCUUGAGAUUCGUCUUAAGUGUUUAUAGCCUCUUGCCUAUGCAGUCGGAGAGAUUGAGGUCUGCAGCGUAGAUCCUUCGGGGCUAAAUGCAUUUGUGCUAAGUUAUAGCAUUUUAUAGACAACUUGUUGACUAUGAUUUGUCUUGUAGCUUACUCGCUUAUGUUAUUUUACCUACGCUUAGGAUGUUGAUAGUCACAGCGUGUAC